UUUCCUUAUAAAAUUGUUAUGUCUUUAAUGUCCAAGCGUCCAUAUCUUUCAUUGCCUAUUACAUCCUCCUAUUCCAUCAUAAGAUUUUUUCAAUAUUAAUACUUUCUUUGUACAAUUGUGUUUUUUUUUCAAAUAGCGUGAGUUUUGACUACACCGCGCGUAGAGUGCCGUAAAAACCGCAGUUCGGGCGGUUCAUUGCACCAGGGCUCCUCGCUUAAAGUUCUUGUACCGGGCCCAUAUUUAAAAUCGUUUAAGUGCUUAUGCCAAUAACAUAAUAUCUCUAUGUGUGUAGGUAGGCCUCGAAAGAUACACAAGUCAAUUAAUAGGUAUUAUGAACAAUAUUAUGUGUACACGGGCAACCUCCGGUCAGCAUCCAGGACCGCCACG